UACGAAGGGGGCUAGCGUUACUCGGAUUGACUGGGCGUAAAGGGCGCGUAGGCGGUUUGUACAGUCAGACGUGAAAUUCCUGGGCUCAACCUGGGGGCUGCGUUUGAUACGUGCAGACUUGAGUUCGGAAGAGGGUCGUGGAAUUCCCAGUGUAGAGGUGAAAUUCGUAGAUAUUGGGAAGAACACCGGUGGCGAAGGCGGCGACCUGGUCCGAUACUGACGCUGAGGCGCGAAAGCCAGGGGAGCAAACGGG
rnacentral:rRNA from 1 species